UACGUAGGUGGCAAGCGUUGUCCGGAUUUACUGGGCGUAAAGAGCGCGCAGGCGGUCGUUCAAGUCGCGUGUGAAAGCCCCCGGCUCAACUGGGGAGGGUCACGCGAUACUGAUCGACUCGAAGGCAGGAGAGGGUAGUGGAAUUCCCGGUGUAGUGGUGAAAUGCGUAGAGAUGUGGAGGAACACCGAUGGCGAAGGCAGCCCCCUGGGUCAAAACUGACGCUCAUGCACGAAAGCGUGGGGAGCAAACAGG
rnacentral:rRNA from 1 species